rnacentral:lncRNA from 1 species
AAUCCUAGAAAAAUCCUAAUCAAAUUCUAAAUAAAUCCUAAUCAAAUCCUAAUAAAAUCCUAAUCAAAUUCUAAUCAAAUUCUAAAUAAAUUCUAAUCAAAUCCUAAUAAAAUCCUAGUCAAAUCCUAAACAAAUCUUAAAUAAGUCCUAAUCAAAUCUUAGACAAAUUAUAGUCAAAUUCUAAUCAAAUCUUGAUCAAAUCCUAGUCAAAUCCUAAACAAAUCCUAACCAAAUCCUAAAUGAAUCCCAGUCAAACCUUAGACAAAUCCUAAAUAAGCCCUAACUAUGAGCUCCAAAUUCAUCACUCAUUAAAUUGAUGCCACAGAAUAAGUUCAAGAGGUGGAA